GCUUGCUUCAGCAGUGCAUAUACCAGAAUUAUAAUGAUACAGAGAAAACUAGCAUGGCACCUGUGCAAGGGUGACACGCAAAUCCAUCAUGUAUUUCAUAUUUUU
rnacentral:snRNA from 1 species